rnacentral:rRNA from 1 species
GACGAACGCUGGCGGCGUGCCUAAUACAUGCAAGUAGAACGCACAGUUUAUACCGUAGCUUGCUACACCAUAGACUGUGAGUUGCGAACGGGUGAGUAACGCGUAGGUAACCUGCCUGGUAGCGGGGGAUAACUAUUGGAAACGAUAGCUAAUACUGCAUAAUAUUAAUUAUUGCAUGAUAAUUAAUUGAAAGGUGCAAUUGCACCACUACCAGAUGGACCUGCGUUGUAUUAGCUAGUAGGGGAGGUAACGGCUCACCUAGGCGACGAAACAUAGCCGACCAGCGAGGGGAAGCGGCCUAGCUGGGACGGGGACACGGCCCAGCACACUAGGGGAGGCAGCAGGAGGGAAUUUUCGGCGAAGGACGAAAGGGUGAACGAGCGACGCCGCGUGAGUGAAGGAGGGUUUCGGAUCGUAAAGGUCAGUUAUAAGAGAAGAAUGGGUGGGAGAGUGGAAAGUUCACACUGUGACGGUAUCUUACCAGAAAGGGACGGCUAACUACGUG